rnacentral:rRNA from 1 species
GACGAACCGUGCGAACGUUGUUCGGAUUCACUGGGCUUAAAGGGCGCGUAGGCGGGCCGCCAAGUCAGGGGUGAAAUCCUCCAGCUUAACUGGAGAACAGCCUCUGAUACUGGUGGUCUGGAGGAAGGUAGGGGCAUGCGGAACUAAUGGUGGAGCGGUGAAAUGCGUAGAUAUCAUUAGGAACGCCGGUGGCGAAAGCGGCGUGCUGGACCUUUUCUGACGCUGAGGCGCGAAAGCCAGGGGAGCAAAC